CGCGCGCGUCUCCUCAGGGCCUUCUCCCAGGUCCAGGCCUGGACCCUGUCUUCUGGGCCGCAGAUGCUGCUCUCUAAAGUGAAAGUGAAAUGAGGAAAGAGGGCCAAGUGGUCUGUAGGGGAAGGGUAAUUAGCAUCUGUGUCAAGGUUUACACUACCGUUCCACCGUCCAGGCUUGCCUAACAGAUGGAGUGAAGCUUCAGAGACUCACUGAGAAGGAAGAAAGAGGACCUCCCUCCUGACUCUUUAGAGAGUGGGUGGAGAACUCUUGCAGUAUCCUUGAGUGUUAUCCAGUAAGAAGAUCUUGAACUGGUGAAUUUAUCAUUGGGUUUUCUGUUGUGAUCAGAGCACUCGCUACAUCCUUUCUCCAUCGGGAAGGGGGAAAAAAAAAAGCGACACUGUUCCUGCACACACUGUCAGACUUAUGAGGCCACAAUUGACAUACAUGCUUGAAGGAGAAAGUGCUCUAUUGUGUCUUGUUUUUCCGUUCGAAUUAUGUCCUCCUGAGACUGUGGCUGACCCUUAGGCCCAUGGCCGUCCUGAAUGUGAUUGACAUGCGUGAUUAGCAGGCAAGUGAGAGAGAACCAGGGAAAUUGCUAUCAAAACAAUUACAUACAGGGACAUCUGAACAAUGGCUUGAGAGCCCCCAGGGACUUAGAGACCAUCCUAGCUCUGCCACGGAUGCCCUCUGGGACUGUGGCCAAGUCAGAUCAUCUCUUUGUGUCUUCGUUUCCUCCUGUUAUGGUGCCAUGACGUGGACGGGAUCGAAUUCAUCAUUGGACCCCUGGAACCUCUCAUCCAGGACCCCAAGUUUGUGCUUUUGAAGACUUUAUUUCACUCCUGACUGGUUAGAGAUCUACUGAGAUACAGACUCUUGCUGAAGAAUCAGAGGGAGAAGAAAUGGAGUUACGGGGCCAAAUACUGUUGUAAGUUCAAGACAAAAAAAAAGAAGAAAGAAAUAGAAAGACAAAAGAAAAAAGAAACAUGAUUGGCAGUGGUGAGUUUUACCAUUAACAAGACAUGGGAUAAAAACAGGUUUUAUGCAGUCUAGCAAAACAACCAGUAUUUUCUGCCAGGACCCUGCCCCUUAGCAUUUCUGGGUC